GCAAAAUGAUGAUACUCCACUUCUGGUCCGUGUUUCUGAAUCCUGAUAAAUUGGAAGUCCUGAGC